UACGGAGGGUGCGAGCGUUGUCCGGAAUCACUGGGCGUAAAGCGUGUGUAGGCGGUUAGGCAAGUCCGCUGUGAAAGUCGGGGGCUCAACCCUCGGAUGCCGGUGGAUACUGUCGGGCUUGAGUACGGAAGAGGCGAGUGGAAUUCCUGGUGUAGCGGUGAAAUGCGCAGAUAUCAGGAGGAAUACCGAUGGCGAAGGCAGGUCUCUGGGCUGACACUGACGCUCAUACACGAAAGCGUGGGGAGCAAACAGG
rnacentral:rRNA from 1 species